AAUGAACGUUGGCGGCGUGGAUUAGGCAUGCAAGUCGAGCGCGAACCCCGCAAGGGGUGAAAGCGGCGAAAGGGAGAGUAACGCGUGGGUAUUUACCCUCGGGACUGGGAUAGCUGCGGGAAACUGCAGGUAAUACCAGAUGACGUCCCCGGACCAAAGGUGUGAUUCCGCCUGAGGAUAAGCCCGCGUCCUAUUAGCUAGUUGGUGAGGUAAUGGCUCACCAAGGCAAUGAUGGGUACUGGGUGUGAGAGCACGACCCAGCUCACUGGGACUGAGACACUGCCCAGACACCUACGGGUGGCUGCAGUCGAGAAUCUUCGGCAAUGGGCGCAAGCCUGACCGAGCGACGCCGCGUGUGGGAUGAAGGCCUUCGGGUUGUAAACCGCUGUCAGAGGGGAGGAAUGGGCGGAGGGUAAUCUCUUCGUUUUGACCUAUCCUCAGAGGAAGUACGGGCUAAGUUCGUGCCAGCCGCCGCGGUAA
rnacentral:rRNA from 1 species